rnacentral:tRNA from 1 species
GGCAGCAUGUUCCAGUAGUUAGGAUACUUGGCUGGCAAUCAAGAGAUUGGGAUUCUCUUCCUUUCUCUGCCA